CUUUAUUUGUAUCAAGAUGGUCCUACUAUCAAAGUCUGUGUAUUAUUCCGUGAAAUCAAUGAACAAAACCAUAUUUUUAGGUGAGUACCUUCCUCUAAAAUGACCAAGCCAACGUAGGAAUGCAUUCCCUCACAUUUCUAUUAGAAGCUCCACCAAAACACCCAAAUUAGAACCCUAGGUUUUGCUUGUGAUAAAAAUUGGGUAAGUUAUUAUUUGGGUUGCAAAAGUUGUUCUUUUCCAUUUGUAAUUGCUUGGUGAGGUCUGAAAUUGGAUAAGAUUUGAUUUUUUAGAAUAGCAAAAGAGGUAUGCAUUUUUUCGGGGGUGGAUAAUGAAACUUGUCCAAGAGGAAAACAAAUGGUCCUUGGUUUGCUUAGAAGACUUAGAGCAAUAGAGUUGGAAGGUAGAGCAAAGGAAGAACAAUUGAGAUUUGUGGAAGCAAAAAAGAAAGAACUGCAACAGAAAUUGAAAGAAAUAGUUCAGGAAAAAACAGUUUUGGAAUGGGCUCAUG
rnacentral:lncRNA from 1 species